CCCGGCGGUCCAUUCGUACGCAAGUCUUUUAGUCCUCAGCGACCUCAAGUCCUCGAAGAGCCCCGUAGCCCGGCUGGAGGACGCUUUGACCGGUGAGGGCGAGGUGGUGGUGCUGCAGCGGUCGGCGAGGCAGUGCAGGAGGAAGAGAGAGGUGAGGAGGGAGCACAGCAUGACCGCCGCUUUCCUGAAGAUGCCUCGGGACGGGGGGUCCAGUUUACUGAUGCGGCUAAAAGCCAUACCGGUCCCUGGGUCGUCGGUUCAGGAGCCACAGCCAUGCUAGGCACCCAUUAUAGAGUCUUCUUUCCAUGAAAAAAAGCGAGGAGUGAGUCUUCGUCCACAGUGUGCUGCUGUAGAUAACACCUCUGUCUCCUCCAAAAAAGAAGACGAAAAGAAACAAAAAAGCCUAAUGAUACCUGCUGCACACAGGAUGCCACCACGAGCCCUGAUGUACCACCCGCACGUGUAUAGAGUUGUAAACUUGUCUCGCAUGUCAGGUUGCUUGACUGGCACCUCCAUGGCCAAUGAGAUGAAGAGAGAAGCAGACAGGAUCCAAUGAUAUUCCAGGUGCAACAAGGCUGGAAACCACACACUCUACAAACACCUGAGAUUGAUCCUUCCCCGUCAAAGAGGUCAUGAGAACUGGGAUGACUGGCAACGAGAGCGUGCCAGUGAGUACGUUUGGGGUGAAGCUUAAAGGGAUCAUGUUACAUCUGAUGUCAUCACCAGACAUCCUGAGAGGCACGAGGGCGACUAACACACUGGGCAAUUUGUUAGCAGUCCUGAUAACUGCAUGCAACAGGCCACAAAGUCUAAUAUCUUGUUCUAUCCUAACGAUUAAAACAAUAACUUGAAGGCAACU